GACGAACGCUGGCGGCGUGCUUAACACAUGCAAGUCGAACGGAAAGGCCCUGCUUUUGUGGGGUGCUCGAGUGGCGAACGGGUGAGUAGCACGUGAGUAACCUGCCCUUGACUUUGGGAUAACUUCAGGAAACUGGGGCUAAUACCGGAUAGGAGCUCCUGCUGCAUGGUGGGGGUUGGAAAGUUUCGGCGGUUGGGGAUGGACUCGCGGCUUAUCAGCUUGUUGGUGGGGUAGUGGCUUACCAAGGCUUUGACGGGUAGCCGGCCUGAGAGGGUGACCGGCCACAUUGGGACUGAGAUACGGCCCAGACUCCUACGGGAGGCAGCAGUGGGGAAUAGUGCACAAUGGGCGGAAGCCUGAUGCAGCGACGCCGCAUGCGGGAUGACGGCCUUCGGGUUGUAAACCGCUUUCGCCUGUGACGAAGCGUGAGUGACGGUAAUGGGUAAAGAAGCACCGGCUAACUACGUG
rnacentral:rRNA from 1 species